UACAGAGGUCUCAAGCGUUGUUCGGAUUCAUUGGGCGUAAAGGGUGUGUAGGUGGCGCCGUAAGUCGGGUGUGAAAUUUCGGAGCUUAACUCCGAAACUGCAUUCGAUACUGCGGUGCUUGAGGACUGGAGAGGAGACUGGAAUUCAUGGUGUAGCAGUGAAAUGCGUAGAGAUCAUGAGGAAGACCAGUGGCGAAGGCGGGUCUCUGGACAGAAACUGACGCUGAGGCGCGAAAGCUAGGGGAGCAAACAGG
rnacentral:rRNA from 1 species